AUACGGAGGAUGCGAGCGUUAUCCGGAUUUAUUGGGUUUAAAGGGUGCGUAGGCUGUGCGUUAAGUCAGGGGUGAAAUGCCGUCGCUCAACGACGGAGCUGCCCUUGAUACUGGCGUGCUGGAGUACGGAUGCCGUUGGAGGAAUGAGUGGUGUAGCGGUGAAAUGCUUAGAUAUCACUCAGAACACCGAUUGCGAAGGCAUCUGACGAAUCCGUCACUGACGCUGAGGCACGAAAGCGUGGGGAUAGAACAGGAUUAGAUACCCUGGUAUUCCACGCCGUAAACGAUGAUGACUAACCGUCGGCGAUAGACAGCCAGUGGCCAAGCGAAAGCGAUAAGUCAUCCACCUGGGGAGUACGUCGGCAACGAUGAAACUCAAAUGAAUUGACGGGG
rnacentral:rRNA from 1 species